rnacentral:sRNA from 1 species
CCCCACAAGUAGACGGAUCUGAUUGUCGGGGCUUGAUGAGCGUACAUCGAAUACUUGGAUGAAUGAUAUGCGAAGAGAGUUCUUUUUCGUCCCCACAGACGGCGCCAAUUGUUGAAUCAAGGAUUCACACAAUAUAUUUGUU